rnacentral:snoRNA from 1 species
GAUGAGAUUCCACUUAAUUGGUCCGUGUUUCUAAAAUAAUUUAAUACAAUAAUCCCCAUUACAAAAGAUG